rnacentral:tRNA from 1 species
AGCAGUGUGGUCUAAUGGAAAGAGCACUGGUCUGAGAAUCAGAGGGCCUAGGUUCUAAUCCCGGCUCUGCCA